GACGAACGCUGGCGGCGUGCUUAACACAUGCAAGUCGAACGGAAAGGCCCUGCUUUUGUGGGGUGCUCGAGUGGCGAACGGGUGAGUAAAACGUGAGUAACCUGCCCUUGACUUUGGGAUAACUUCAGGAAACUGGGGCUAAUACCGGAUAGGAGCUCCUGCUGCAUGGUGGGGGUUGGAAAGUUUCGGCGGUUGGGGAUGGAAUCGCGGCUUAUCAGCUUGUUGGUGGGGUAGUGGCUUACCAAGGCUUUGAAGGGUAGCCGGCCUGAGAGGGUGACCGGCCACAUUGGGACUGAGAUACGGCCCAGACUCCUACGGGAGGCAGCAGUGGGGAAUAUUGCGCAAUGGGCGGAAGCCUGAUGCAGCAACGCCGCGUGCGGGAUGACGGCCUUCGGGUUGUAAACCGCUUUCGCCUGUGACGAAGCGUGAGUGACGGUAAUGGGUAAAGAAGCACCGGCUAACUACGUG
rnacentral:rRNA from 1 species